CCUACGGGGGGCAGCAGUGGGGAAUAUUGGACAAUGGAGGCAACCCUGAUCCAGCCAUGCCGCGUGUGUGAAGAAGGCCCUCGGGUUGUAAAGCACUUUCAGUGAGGAAGAACGCCUGGUGGUUAAUACCCAUCAGGAAAGACAUCACUCACAGAAGAAGCACCGGCUAACUCCGUGCCAGCAGCCGCGGUAAUACGGAGGGUGCGAGCGUUAAUCGGAAUUACUGGGCGUAAAGCGCGCGUAGGUGGCUUGAUAAGCCGGUUGUGAAAGCCCCGGGCUCAACCUGGGAACGGCAUCCGGAACUGUCAAGCUAGAGUGCAGGAGAGGAAGGUAGAAUUCCCGGUGUAGCGGUGAAAUGCGUAGAGAUCGGGAGGAAUACCAGUGGCGAAGGCGGCCUUCUGGACUGACACUGACACUGAGGUGCGAAAGCGUGGGUAGCAAACAGGAUUAGAUACCCCAGUAGUC
rnacentral:rRNA from 1 species